UGAUCAGAUAUAUCUGGAGCUUGUAGCUCGGUUUAAGCGGCUAUGGCGACCGUCUCUGCGUCGUUCAGUACUUUAACAUGUUUAAGUUGUGUACCUCCGUUUGGUUUGCAGAAGAUUGAAGUGAAGACAGAGAAGAAGUGGCAGCCAUGUCGUGCUGUGAGGUCGCAGGAUAGUUCAAACUCGACAAAUUCAGGACGCAGCCAUAGGAAAGUGUGGCGGAGAAGAAAAUUGUCCAAAAGAGAUGCUAUGCUGGAUUACAAGACAGAAAGAGUUCCCUUUCUUGAGGAGCAGGUACGGAAGAUAAAGGAAACAGGAAAUAUCCUUACAAUGGACAUUGAGACACUGCUAUUAUCAGAAGAUAACAGGUAUGAAUUUGUGAAUGAAAUAGCAGCUGAAGCAAAGCGAUAUGUUGAGAACAAUCGAGAUGAAUAUGGUGGUGCAAAGAAAGCAAUCCUUCAUGUAAUCAGCAACCGGAUUAAUGAUGCUGGAAUAUAUCGCCCUGAUGCAUACAUUGAAGAUGAUCCUUUCAAGCCAGGUCCUGGAUACCUGAGGCAAGAACUUUAUGAUGCUUGAUUUGAGCAAAAGGAUGACUUCAUAGCUUGUUUAUCCAUGAAUGGUCUCUGAACCACUGAGUCUGUAGUGGAGAUGGAAAGCUGCAAUAUUGUUGACUUACUGUAUCGCGCAACAAAGAUCUGUAGCAGAAGCGACAGUCUCAUGACAAUCGAUGUCAGCAUUAUUAUAGCAAAUCUGCCAGAAAAGCAAAUGAAAAGUGGAUACGGAACCUCAUCAAGCGAGUUGAGAGGAUGCAUUCUGUCGCCCGAGCUCUUAACCAUGCCUGCCAAAAGAGGAACAGAUCAAUCCUGGAGAGACAGAUAUGGACAGUGGCCUACUCAAUGAAAUCAAUGUGACUGAUUUCUUAAGAGCCAUUAUUGAGAGCACUACAAAAAAGGUACAAAACAAAAACUAUCUUCUUACGUGCUGAAAAAAAAUCAUUUAUGUUUUAAUGAUUCAUUAUGGCGUAGAUUAGUCAGUCACGCAGGCUUCUUGUUUUCCCACAAUAAUUCUUGAUAUGCUGGGGUAUUUUGAAUUUGAACUUCUGUCUUUGGAUGUUUUGAAUAUAUAGUGGUUUUGGAAAGAUAUUUGAAUAUAAACUUGGUGUUUGACCUUACAUUUUUAAGGUCAAACAAUUAAUCUAAUAAAAUAAAAUAACUUCAAUUUAGGAAUACUUGCUCUCUUUCUGUUUUAGUUUCUUUUUACUAUGCACGCUAUUUCUAUUACAAAGUAUCAUAACUCAAUGAUCAUUUAAACACAUAAUAUGAACAUAUCCUUUAUGUCAUUCUUGUUAAGAACUUGUAACUUUUCCUUUUAAUAGUACAAUUUCUAUUAUUCAAACUUAUUUUCACUUUCCCCUUUUGAUUUUGAUUGUCAUCCAAUUUAUUCCUGUUUCUAUUUUUAGUAAAAGGAUAUUCUUUUUCUAUUUUUCCUUUUAUCAUAAAAAAAAAAAAUUAUUUUUAUGUUUACCCAUUUUCCUUUAAACUUGUGCUCAGUCCGUACGGAGGGAGUAGUAAUAAAUACUUAGAAAAAUCACUAUCAUGCAAUAUGAGUACGAUACUUCAAUUAUAAAUAGUGGGGAUAAGAUGGAUGCAACAAAUAGGGUGUUUCCAUGUUGAAGAAAAGUAAGUGACAAGAGCACCAUACAGCAAGAGAUAGGAAUAGCAAUAGCAAUAGCAAAUAGCAAUGGAAAUCACUAUAACACUGUUACAAUUGUGGCACAGUCUGUAUCUUUGGUAUGCUGACCUGAUCAAAGACUUUCCUAUUUUUUUUGCACCACAAAAAAAUAUGAAAUAUUAUUAUUCAUUCCCCUUUUUAAGGUUUCAUUAAAGUGGGAUUGCGUUUUCUUAGUGAAAACGAGCAGAGAACUUUAGUCUUUAGCAGUACCCUGUUUAGCACAUCCUCAAAACUUACCAAAUUAGAUAUAUAUAUGACACACAUACAUAUAACAAACCCAAAUGACCAAAUCACAUAAAGUUACAAAUUGGAAUAGCAAACAGUAUAUAUGCAUUUAUAGGGAAAUUUUAAGAUAUACCACAAGGCCACAAAAAAUACACUGCCUCUGUACAUCUCAAAACUAUAAUCCCGUUAAACGGUAAGAUCAUAUCCUACCAAUAGCAAGACCCGAUUGGGAAAAUCCGGGAAAAAAAAAUGCAUAAAAGACUCCGUUUUAUAAUAUGCACAAAAGAAAGAAAAAUAAAGGCAGCGACGAC